AGAGGAUAGUGUUUAUUAGAUACAGAACCAAUACACCAGUGUCAAAACUGGUGUGAAAAAGGUGAUUCAUAGUAACCGAACGGAUCGCAUUAUGGUCAUUUUAUAAUGGCUGGCGAUAGAUCAUUCAAGUUUCUGACCUAUCAGCUUUCGACGGUAGUGUAUUGGACUACCGUGGCAGUGACGGGUAACGGGGAAUUAGGGUUCGAUUCCGGAGAGGGAGCCUGAGAAACGGCUACCACAUCUAAGGAAGGCAGCAGGCGCGCAAAUUACCCAAUCCUGACUCAGGGAGGUAGUGACAAGAAAUAACAACACUGGAAAUUUUAUUUCUAGUGAUUGGAAUGAUGGGAAUUUAAACCCCUUUCAGAGUAACAAUUGGAGGGCAAGUCUGGUGCCAGCAGCCGCGGUAAUUCCAGCUCCAAUAGCGUAUAUUAAAGUUGUUGCAGUUAAAAAGCUCGUAGUUGGAUGUCUGCUGGAAGCAAUCAGUCCGCCCUAUUUGUAGGGUGUGCACUUGAUGAAUUCUGGCAUUUUUGUCCCAAUGAUGUAACGGGGCAGAGUGGUAUUGGGCGAAAGUUCAAUAGCGUCUUUUCCGAUUAUUGGGAUACUGUUACUUUGAGAAAAUUAGAGUGUUUGAAGCAGGCUAAUUGCCUUGAAUACUGCAGCAUGGAAUAACAAUAUAGGAUUUCGGUUCUAUUUUGUUGGUUUCUAGGACUGAAAUAAUGAUUAAUAGGGACAGUUGGGGGCAUUCGUAUUUAACUGUCAGAGGUGAAAUUCUUAGAUUUGUUAAAGACGAACUACUGCGAAAGCAUUUGCCAAAGAUGUUUUCAUUAAUCAAGAACGAAAGUUAGGGGCUCGAAGACGAUCAGAUACCGUCGUAGUCUUAACCAUAAACUAUGCCGACUAGAGAUAGGAAAAUG
rnacentral:rRNA from 1 species